AUGAACGCUGGCGGCGUGCCUAAUACAUGCAAGUCGAGCGAACAGACGAGGAGCUUGCUCCUCUGACGUUAGCGGCGGACGGGUGAGUAACACGUGGAUAACCUACCUAUAAGACUGGGAUAACUUCGGGAAACCGGAGCUAAUACCGGAUAAUAUAUUGAACCGCAUGGUUCAAUAGUGAAAGACGGUUUUGCUGUCACUUAUAGAUGGAUCCGCGCCGCAUUAGCUAGUUGGUAAGGUAACGGCUUACCAAGGCGACGAUGCGUAGCCGACCUGAGAGGGUGAUCGGCCACACUGGAACUGAGACACGGUCCAGACUCCUACGGGAGGCAGCAGUAGGGAAUCUUCCGCAAUGGGCGAAAGCCUGACGGAGCAACGCCGCGUGAGUGAUGAAGGUCUUCGGAUCGUAAAACUCUGCUAUUAGGGAAGAACAAAUGUGUAAGUAACUAUGCACGUCUUGACGGUACCUAAUCAGAAAGCCACGGCUAACUACGUG
rnacentral:rRNA from 1 species